rnacentral:rRNA from 1 species
UACGUAGGGGGCAAGCGUUGCCCGGAAUCAUUGGGCGUAAAGAGCGUGUAGGCGGCUCGGUAAGUCCGCUGUAAAAGUCCAGGGCUCAACCCUGGAAAGCCGGUGGAAACUGUCGAGCUAGAGUCCGGAAGAGGCGAGUGGAAUUCCUGGUGUAGCGGUGAAAUGCGCAGAUAUCAGGAGGAACACCAAUGGCGAAGGCAGCUCGCUGGGACGGUACUGACGCUGAGACGCGAAAGCGUGGGGAGCAAACAGG